GGUAGCGUGGCCGGGCGGUUUGAGGCUCUGGGUUAAGGCUCCAGUGUCUGCAGGGUUAAGGCUCCAGUGUCUGCAGGCGAGUGGGUUCGAAUCCCGCCGCUGCCA
rnacentral:tRNA from 1 species